GUUUAUUAAAAGCUGUUGAUGUAGUCUACCUAGACUUUAGCAAAUCCUUUGACACUGUCUCCCACAGUAUUCUCCUGCAGAAGCUGGCAGUCCGUGGCUUGGACAGGUACACUCUUGUCUGGGUAAGGAGCUUGCUGGAAGGCCAGGCCCAGAGAGCGAUGGUGUAUGGAGUUAAAUCCAGCUGGUGACUGGUCACAAGUGGUAUUCCCCAGGGGUUGGUGCUGGGGCCUGUCCUCUUCAAUAUCUUUAUUGAUGACCUGGAUGAGGGCAUUGAGUGCACCCUCAGUAAGUUUGCAGAUGACACCAAGGUGGCUGGAAGUGUCAAUCUGCCUGGGGGUAGUGAGGCCCUACAGAGGGAUCUGGACAGGCUGGAUAGCUGGGCUGAAGCCAAUGGGAUGAGGUUCAACAAGACCAAAUGCCAGGUCCUGCACUUUGGCCACAAUAACCCCAGGCAACGCUACAGGCCUGGGGGCAGAGUGGCUGGAAGACUGUGGAGAGGAAAUGGACGUGGGGGUAUUGAUUGAUGCUAGACGGAUGGUUGGACUGGAUGAUCCUGUGGGUCUUUUCCGACCUUAGCGAUUCUAUGAUUCUAUGAUUCUAUGAGGGCGACAUCCGUCAGGUUUUAAAUAUCUCUAAGGAUGGCAACCUUGACUACACUCAAACUGAAGUUUCUUCUUAAAUUGAAUUUCUUAUAUUUCAUUUUCUGUCUAUUGCUUCUUGUUCUGCCACUGAGUAAACUUUGAGAAGCAUCUCUCUACACUCUGUCAUCAAGUUUUUAUACCUUAAAACUUUGUAUGUCUACUUCUGCAUCUUGGUCUGACAUCAAGCUGUACAGUGAGAAGAAUGGAAAACCUUUCAGCAGUUUUUGCUGCCAAGCUAUAACUGAAACCUAGAAGACCUGUCAUUUCUGGAUAAUCUAAAUGAAUGAGUAACUGAAAAAUGCUAGGAUACUUCUAAUACAGCAAGUUUGGGAGGAAAAAUGUGCUUAACUGAAAUUUGAGCAAAAUGAAGUCAUUUGAAGGAAAUCCCAGACCUACUGAUGCGUAACUGACCUGUUUGUCCAAAUCAAUUUCAUUACAGUGCCCUCCUCCUUCCCCCUGCCCCUACCACAUGCACCUUAAACAUAUUUUUUGCUAGAAUUUUAUUAGAUUAGUUUGAUUACAGUAUUAAAACACAGCUGAAAAUUGUGUUAUAAAAUCUGAGUUGCCCUUUCUAGUAGCAGAAACUGCUGGUAACUACUCAAUUAUUAUACGUAAAACAUGUACCUAUGAUCAUGUUUCAAUAUUUUCUAAGUUUGUUUGUGCAUAGCUCCCAACUUAAAGUGUUCAGUGUAGGACAUCCAAGAUUAAUUUAAGAGCUAGAGAGUUAGAAACAUAUCUUUUUCAUCUUUUUGACCUUAGUGUCAGCUCAUUACCACUUUCAUUCUUUUUCAGCUUUAUUCUCCCAAUGAACUUCUUUUACAGUGACCUUUUAAAAUGAUUUUUUAUCUUCUGUGUUUCAUUAGAACAUGAAGGAGAGUCCACCUCCCACAUUAAAGGUUUUUGUGUCUUCUUAUGAUUUAGGUUCUUGGUAGCUAACAAGAACCUGCUAGCUUAAACUUCUCUGUCAGAUAUGUUUCACAUCAGAAGUAUUAUUUUCCCCUAACUCUUAGAAGAUCAGUAUGUAUGUAUUAGAAUCUAUCAGAAACAGUGUAGGGUUUUUUGUUGUUGUUUGUUUGUUUGGGGUGGUUUUUUUUUGUUGUAGUUGCUUUUGUUUUUUUCCCCAGACCUGAUGUGAAAAAAUAUUUAAGGAAGGGUUUUAUUUAUUUGCUUGUUUUUGGUAAUUCUCAUCUAUGGGACUGAAGUGUAGGCACUUACAUUUUUCCUGUAAGUUUUGACUGAUACGUUACUACUUCCAGUACUGAAAUUAAAACAAAAUAGAAGAGUAAUAGAAGUGUAGUUUAAGAACAAAACACUAGAAAAUGUUCAUUUUUAUGGGUAUGAGGGAUACCACACAUUGGUGUUAUGUGACAGUAUGUAUAAUGGUAUACUCAUGAAGCUUCAGACAUCCAUUUUUAGUGGAAAGUCAACUACUAGUAGAUAAGAAGCAAUUAAGGGCAGCUUAUUUUCUGUGAUUCCUCAAAUAUCUGAGUCUUUCUUUGUUAUAGAGCAGUAUUUUUCUCCCCCCAGAUUUCAUUUCAGGUUUUGAAAACAAAAUUGAGCAAUUUGCCAAGUAAAGUAUAGUCAGUUUGCAUGGAUAAUAAUACUGCUGUACUAUUUUGUAUUCUAAUAGAUUUUGCAGAAGAUGUAAGAUUGAUUAUUAGUUGAGUUAUUGACUAUUAGUUGAGCUUUAGUUAAGUGACUUGAUCUCUAGACAGAUUCUUUUUUUUUUUCUUUCCUGUUACACCUAAAGAAUUUUUAAAAUUUACAGGAUAUAUUUGACUUCUAUAAAUAUUACAGUUUUUUUUUUACCUGAAAUAAUGGAGACCAGCUUUGCCAUUCUUCAUCAGUAUGCAAAACAUUUGACACUGUCCCAGGUGACAUCCUUAUCCUCUAAUUGGAGACCUGGAUUUGACUGGUGGUCCUCUUGGACCUUGGAGGAGUAAUAAGGAAUUGUAAAGAGUUGUGGUCAGUGGCAUGAUGUCUAGGUGGAGAUCAAUGAUGACUGUUGUUGCUCAAGGGUCCAUACUGGGGCUGGAUUUAUUUGACAUCCUUGCCAGCAACAUGGACUGUGGAAAUGAGUAGACCCUGAGGAAGUCUAUGGAUGACAUCAGUUGAGUGGCUCAGCUGACAUGCUAGAGGGAAGGGAUGCCAUCCAGGGUGACCUUGACAGUUUUGAGAAGUGGACCCAUACAAAAAAAAAAAAAAAAAAAAAAGUCAAUCAAUCAAUCAAACAAACAACAACAACAACAAAAAAAAAAUGUGGUCCAAUAAGCCAAGUGCAAGGACCUACACCUGCGUCAGGGCAAUCCCAAACAUGAACUCAGGCUGGGCACAGAGAACGGUUUGAGAGUAGCUAUGAGGAGACAAACUUGGGUACUUUUGGAUGAUAAGUUUAACGUGAGCCACCAGUGUGUGCUUGCAGCCUAGAAAGUUGGAAGGGGGCUCUAGGCAGCCUGUUCUAGUGGAAAGCUUCCUUGAACAUCACAAAGGUGUUGGAAUAGGAUGGUAUUUAAGGUCUCUUCCAGCUCCGACUGUUACAUGUUUGGGUGGUUUGUGAUUCAGUAAUAAAUACAUUGAAUAGUACUGGCCCCACUAUCAAUCUGUGUGGUAAGUUUUUUGCAAGUGUUUGUGGUCUAGACAACAAAAACACUUUAUCACAUAAGAAUAAAAAAGUAAUAGGCAGCCACAGUUCUGCUAUAUUUUACUUCAGAAGAAAGGAUACUUCAAGUUUUCUCUUGCAGUUUUACAGAUUUAAUCAUUAUAGGCACUUGGAAAUGCGAAUGCUCCACAGAAACAGCGAGGGAUAUGUAUACAAAUUCUUCAAGGACAGUCACUACAUUUAAGAAAUGCAAACUCUGCAGUGCUGCCUCCAGAAUAUCUGUUUACUCUCAGAAUUUUACUCCACAAAUAUUCAUUCACAAUGAGUAUAUCAGACUGUGUUAGUAUUAAGAAAUAUUAUGUUAACCUAAUCUAGCUUACCUAUCUUGUACAAGAUAAAAUUAUAUUUUGAACCACUGCAUAGAAAGAGGUAGAAAAUAAAGUAUUCUGAAAGAUUUACAUGGAUAUCAAUUUUCUCUGCAGACAACUUCUAUAGAAGCAGCUGUAGCUUGAACGUAACUGUAUGACUUUGAUAUAGUAUUCCAGCUUUUCAACAAGUGUUAGAUUUGAAAAGGUUAAAAGGUCAAUUAUUUCCUGAAGGAGAAAGAAAAUUCAUGAAUAAUUUAAAAAUCAUCAUUUCUGUUUCUGUACAUCAGUUUAGACAUCCCUUGUCAAAACUAAGCCUACGUUGCAUUGUUGUAUUGCGGAUAAACACAAAAAGUCAACAACUGAAAAAUGAUUUCUUAAAGGAUAAAAAGCAAUGAACAAGAACCUGGAUGCUGCACUUGUAAAAAUCUGCACAAGUGGAGUAGAUCCACUGUUUCACAACUGCUAUGAUUGCGUAAUUACUAGGAAAAUAUUGUCCCUGGAGUUCAUCUUUCAUCAGUCCAAACAGAUGGAAGACAGAAGGUGACAUAUCUGAACUAUAUUUUGGGUGUGCUUGACAGUUCAGCCAAGACUGGCAAUGUGCUUCACAGUCUUCAAACUGGUAUGUAACCUAUCAUUACUGUGUUGUCAUAGAAAGGUUGUCUUCCUCUCUGGCCUGACUCUGGAAGUUCAUGCUUUCAGCACAGUUAGUGUUGUAAUGCAGUAGUCAGAGUUGAUGGUUUGUUCUGGGUUCCAGGAAAUCCAUAAGGAUCACCACGGGCACGUCACUUUACCCACUGAGGGCUGUAUUUUGAACAUUUUAUUCGAUGGGGAAUUCAUAUAUCAUCACUUCAUGGACUGUCAUUUUGAUUCCAGCUUGUAGUGGUCCAGCAACAUCUUCAUCUUAUCACUAGUGAGGAUCCAGGAAACUGUCACCUUCGGCCACAUAUUGGUUCAAUCAGUACUGAAAAACUUGCAUACAGUGAUCUUUCUUUGCCUGUAUGAGAAUCUGUGGGACCCACCAGGAACAAACUGUGGUAUUCCAAUGUUGCCAGUGUUGUUUCCAAUGCAAUGAAACUGAUAUUCAAUUCCAUACACAGUUCCCUUGUCACAGUUCACUAAUUUGUGCAGAGGACCUGAUUGAGACACUCUUUAUUUCAUGGUAUGACAGCUCUGCAUGGCAGUCUGGAACAUGGCCUGUAUUUCACAACACUGUUACCACAGGUGGAACACACCACCCAUUGCCUCACUGUGCUCAGAUUCACAGAUUAGACUCCAUAAAUAUUAAGCAAGCAUCGAUGAAUGUCAGUGGGUGUAAUUUUUCCCUCAUGGAGGGAUUCAACUACACCUUUUCUUCAUAUACUCUUCAGUGUCAAACAUCAAUUUGUCACACUGCCCCUCUGCUGUCAUCCAUCACACAGCAAUAAAAUGUAAUGAGAUAUUAGAAGGAAGGUUCAGCCUCUACUGCCAUGCCACCAACAUCUGCUUCUGAUAUCGUGGGCUGACACAAUAAGGUAGGAGGCAUUACUUUUGGAGCAGCCCCUGCAGAUUUUGAUGUUUCCAUUAUUUCACAAAGUACAUUUCUUAUUAACUUCUAUAAGCACAUUUUUGUGGAAAUAGUAAUAACAAUGUCUUCUAUAAGAUAAUUAGAACCAGAAAAUAAUAUGCAUAAUGCAGUGAGUACAAUUAAUUUCUUACAAAAUUUAAAUGCUGAUACUUUAUUUUAUAAACAGUGAGAAUUAUAACUUCACAUUUUAAAUCAAUGUCAAGCAUUUUAAUAAGCAUCUCUUAUUGGAAUUUAUUAAAAAUGCUAUCACUAGUGAUAUGUUGG
ensembl:lncRNA